GACGAACGCUGGCGGCGUGCCUAAUACAUGCAAGUCGAACGAACGGAUAAAGAGCUUGCUCUUUUGAAGUUAGUGGCGACGGGUGAGUAACACGUGGGUAACCUGCCUCACAGCUGGGGAUAACAUCGAGAAAUCGAUGCUAAUACCGAAUGUGCUGAACAUCAUAAGAUGUUCAAGUGAAAGACGGUUUCGGCUGUCACUGUGAGAUGGACCCGCGCUGGAUUAGCUAGUUGGUAAGGUAAUGGCUUACCAAGGCGACGAUCCAUAGCCGACUUGAGAGGGUGAUCGGCCACAUUGGGACUGAGACACGGCCCAAAC
rnacentral:rRNA from 1 species